GGCUGAAAGAACUUGUGAGGCUCUGGCUGUUUGAAUCACCCUGCCAGUGAGAGAUAAUCAGGGCUCCUGAUGCACUUCUGCUCUUAAAAGGGGAGAAGUGAUCCCCAAGAGUCUAGAAAGGGUUCCUCAGAGUGGGGAUCCCCAGACUAAAGUAAAGGGGAGAGAAGGAGGUGGCCUGUGCAUUCCAUAAAGAAAACUGGUGUACUCGACUUCCGGCAAGAUGGCAGACUAGGGGUCAUAAAUCUGCACAUUAUCAAUGUAUUCCUAGUGGGCUUUUGUAGGAGAGAGAGAGAGAGGGGGGGACAGGAAGAGGCAUGGGGUUGGGAGUGAGGAGGAGUGGGUUUCAGUGGAGCAAAGUACAUUUUCUUUUAUUCCCCAGGACCAGCUUUAAGAGGAAAUGAAAUUGCCCAGUUCAUCU
rnacentral:lncRNA from 1 species